rnacentral:rRNA from 1 species
AGCGAACGCCGGCGGCAGGCUUAACACAUGCAAGUCGAGCGGGCGUAGCAAUACGUCAGCGGCAGACGGGUGAGUAACGCGUGGGAACGUACCUUUUGGUUCGGAACAACACAGGGAAACUUGUGCUAAUACCGGAUAAGCCCUUACGGGGAAAGAUUUAUCGCCGAAAGAUCGGCCCGCGUCUGAUUAGCUAGUUGGUGAGGUAAUGGCUCACCAAGGCGACGAUCAGUAGCUGGUCUGAGAGGAUGAUCAGCCACAUUGGGACUGAGACACGGCCCAAACUCCUACGGGAGGCAGCAGUGGGGAAUAUUGGACAAUGGGGGCAACCCUGAUCCAGCCAUGCCGCGUGAGUGAUGAAGGCCCUAGGGUUGUAAAGCUCUUUUGUGCGGGAAGAUAAUGACGGUACCGCAAGAAUAAGCCCCGGCUAACUUCGUGCCAGCAGCCGCCGUAAGAC